rnacentral:rRNA from 1 species
ACCGGCGGCUCGAGUGGUGGCCACUAUUACUGGGCUUAAAGCGUUCGUAGCUGGCUUGUUAAGUCUCUGGGGAAAUCUUCCGGCUCAACCGGAAGGCGUCUCAGGGAUACUGGCAGGCUAGGGACCGGAAGAGGUGAGAGGUACUCCAGGGGUAGGGGUGCAAUCCUGUAAUCCGUGAGGGAGCACAUGAGGAGAAGGCGUGUCACCAGGACUAAUGCGACAGGAAGGAACGGAAGCUGGGAUAGCAAGCGG